UUGGAUCACCAGUGAGUGGCGGACGGGUGAGUAACACGUAGGUAACCUGCCCCGGAGCGGGGGAUAACAUUUGGAAACAGAUGCUAAUACCGCAUAACAACAAAAGCCACAUGGCUUUUGUUUGAAAGAUGGCUUUGGCUAUCACUCUGGGAUGGACCUGCGGUGCAUUAGCUAGUUGGUAAGGUAACGGCUUACCAAGGCGAUGAUGCAUAGCCGAGUUGAGAGACUGAUCGGCCACAAUGGAACUGAGACACGGUCCAUACUCCUACGGGAGGCAGCAGUAGGGAAUCUUCCACAAUGGGCGCAAGCCUGAUGGAGCAACACCGCGUGAGUGAAGAAGGGUUUCGGCUCGUAAAGCUCUGUUGUUGGAGAAGAACGUGCGUGAGAGUAACUGUUCACGCAGUGACGGUAUCCAACCAGAAAGUCACGGCUAACUACGUGCCAGCAGCCGCGGUAAUACGUAGGUGGCAAGCGUUAUCCGGAUUUAUUGGGCGUAAAGCGAGCGCAGGCGGUUGCUUAGGUCUGAUGUGAAAGCCUUCGGCUUAACCGAAGAAGUGCAUCGGAAACCGGGCGACUUGAGUGCAGAAGAGGACAGUGGAACUCCAUGUGUAGCGGUGGAAUGCGUAGAUAUAUGGAAGAACACCAGUGGCGAAGGCGGCUGUCUGGUCUGCAACUGACGCUGAGGCUCGAAAGCAUGGGUAGCGAACAGGAUUAGAUACCCUGGUAGUCCAUGCCGUAAACGAUGAGUGCUAGGUGUUGGAGGGUUUCCACCCUUCAGUGCCGGAGCUAACGCAUUAAAGCACUCCGCCUGGGGAGUACGACCGCAAGGUUGAAACUCAAAGGAAUUGACGGGGGCCCGCACAAGCGGUGGAGCAUGUGGUUUAAUUCGAAGCUACGCGAAGAACCUUACCAGGUCUUGACAUCUUGCGCUAACCUUAGAGAUAAGGCGUUCCCUUCGGGGACGCAAUGACAGGUGGUGCAUGGUCGUCGUCAGCUCGUGUCGUGAGAUGUUGGGUUAAGUCCCGCAACGAGAGCAACCCUUGUUACUAGUUGCCAGCAUUAAGUUGGGCACUCUAGUGAGACUGCCGGUGACAAACCGGAGGAAGGUGGGGACGACGUCAGAUCAUCAUGCCCCUUAUGACCUGGGCUACACACGUGCUACAAUGGACGGUACAACGAGUCGCAAGCUCGCGAGAGUAAGCUAAUCUCUUAAAGCCGUUCUCAGUUCGGACUGUAGGCUGCAACUCGCCUACACGAAGUCGGAAUCGCUAGUAAUCGCGGAUCAGCAUGCCGCGGUGAAUACGUUCCCGGGCCUUGCACACACCGCCCGUCA
rnacentral:rRNA from 1 species